rnacentral:rRNA from 1 species
UUCCGUAGGUGAACCUUGCGGAAGGAUCA